CAGUAGCCACGGUAAAACGAAGGGGGCUAGCGUUGCUCGGAAUUACUGGGCGUAAAGGGAGCGUAGGCGGAUCGUUAAGUUGGGGGUGAAAGCCCGGGGCUCAACCUCGGAACUGCCUUCAAUACUGGCGAUCUUGAGUAUGAGAGAGGUGUGUGGAACUCCGAGUGUAGAGGUGAAAUUCGUAGAUAUUCGGAAGAACACCAGUGGCGAAGGCGACACACUGGCUCAUUACUGACGCUGAGGCUCGAAAGCGUGGGGAGCAAACAGGAUUAGAUACCCCUGUAGUCCCUGUCUCUUAUAC
rnacentral:rRNA from 1 species